rnacentral:rRNA from 1 species
CCUACGGGUGGCAGCAGUGAGGAAUAUUGGUCAAUGGGCGCAAGCCUGAACCAGCCAAGUCGCGUGAGGGAUGACGGUCCUAUGGAUGGUAAACCUCUUUUGUCGGGGAGCAAGGCCCGCCACGUGUGGCGGGAAGGAGAGUACCCGAAGAAAAAGCAUCGGCUAACUCCGUGCCAGCAGCCGCGGUAAUACGGAGGAUGCGAGCGUUAUCGGAAUUGAUUGGGUUAAAGGGGAGCGUAGGCGGAAGGUUAAGUCAGCGGUCAAAUGUCGGUGCUCACAACCGGCCUGCCGUUGAAACUGGUCUUCUUGAGUGAGCGAGAAGUAGGCGGAAUGCGAGGUGUAGCGGUGAAAUGCAUAGAUAUCACGCAGAACUCCGAUUGCGAAGGCAGCAUACCGGCGCUCAACUGACGCUGAGGUACGAAAGCGUGGGGAUCGAACAGGAUUAGAUACCCUGGUAGUC